ACGCUGGCGGCGUGCCUAAUACAUGCAAGUCGAACGAGAGCGACCGGUGCUUGCACUGGUCAAUCUAGUGGCGAACGGGUGAGUAACACGUGGGUAACCUGCCCAUCAGAGGGGGAUAACAUCCGGAAACGGAUGCUAAAACCGCAUAGGUCUUCGAACCGCAUGGUUUGAAGAGGAAAAGAGGCGCAAGCUUCUGCUGAUGGAUGGACCCGCGGUGCAUUAGCUAGUUGGUGAGGUAACGGCUCACCAAGGCCGUGAUGCAUAGCCGACCUGAGAGGGUGAUCGGCCACAUUGGGACUGAGACACGGCCCAAACUCCUACGGGAGGCAGCAGUAGGGAAUCUUCCGCAAUGGACGCAAGUCUGACGGAGCAACGCCGCGUGAGUGAAGAAGGUUUUCGGAUCGUAAAACUCUGUUGUUAGAGAAGAACAAGUGCUAGAGUAACUGUUAGCGCCUUGACGGUAUCUAACCAGAAAGCCACGGCUAACUACGUGCCAGCAGCCGCGGUAAUACGUAGGUGGCAAGCGUUGUCCGGAUUUAUUGGGCGUAAAGCGAGCGCAGGCGGUUCCUUAAGUCUGAUGUGAAAGCCCCCGGCUCAACCGGGGAGGGUCAUUGGAAACUGGGGAACUUGAGUGCAGAAGGGGAGAGUGGAAUUCCAUGUGUAGCGGUGAAAUGCGUAGAUAUAUGGAGGAACACCAGUGGCGAAGGCGACUCUCUGGUCUGUAACUGACGCUGAGGCUCGAAAGCGUGGGUAGCAAACAGGAUUAGAUACCCUGGUAGUCCACGCCGUAAACGAUGAGUGCUAAGUGUUGGAGGGUUUCCGCCCUUCAGUGCUGCAGUUAACGCAUUAAGCACUCCGCCUGGGGAGUACGACCGCAAGGUUGAAACUCAAAGGAAUUGACGGGGACCCG
rnacentral:rRNA from 1 species